GGAACUCUGACAGGUGCUGCAUGGCUGUCGUCAGCUCGUGUUGUGAGAUGUUGGGUUAAGUCCCGCAACGAGCGCAACCCNUAUCCUUAUUUGCCAGCACGUAAUGGCGGGAACUCUAANNAGACUGCCGGUGAUAAACCGGAGGAAGGUNGGGACGACGUCAAGUCAUCAUGGCCUUACGGGAUGGGCUACACACGUGCUACAAUGGCAGGUACAGAGGGCAGCGAGACCGCGAGGUGGAGCGAAUCCCAGAAAGCUUGUCGUAGUCCGNAUUGGAGUCUGCAACUCGACUCCAUGAAGUCGGAAUCGCUAGUAAUCGUAGAUCAGAAUGCU
rnacentral:rRNA from 1 species